CUAUGAUGCAGUCGNACGAGUUCUGAUUAUUGAAAGGUGCUUGCAUCUUGAUUUAAUUUUGAACGAGUGGCGGACGGGUGAGUAACACGUGGGUAACCUGCCCUUAAGUGGGGGAUAACAUUUGGAAACAGAUGCUAAUACCGCAUAAAUCCAAGAACCGCAUGGUUCUUGGCUGAAAGAUGGCGUAAGCUAUCGCUUUUGGAUGGACCCGCGGCGUAUUAGCUAGUUGGUGAGGUAACGGCUCACCAAGGCAAUGAUACGUAGCCGAACUGAGAGGUUGAUCGGCCACAUUGGGACUGAGACACGGCCCAAACUCCUACGGGAGGCAGCAGUAGGGAAUCUUCCACAAUGGACGCAAGUCUGAUGGAGCAACGCCGCGUGAGUGAAGAAGGCUUUCGGGUCGUAAAACUCUGUUGUUGGAGAAGAAUGGUCGGCAGAGUAACUGUUGUCGGCGUGACGGUAUCCAACCAGAAAGCCACGGCUAACUACGUGCCAGC
rnacentral:rRNA from 1 species